AAACUAGGAUUAGAUACCCUAUUAUAUUCAAAUAAACAAAGUAGUAAAUAAAUAAAACUAAUUUAACAUGGCGGCAUUUCAUCUACUUAGAGGAAUUUGUCUAUCAAUCGAUAAUCCACGUUAACUUUCACUUUAAUUUCAAAAUUUAUAUACCGCCAUCUUAAGAAUCAAUUUAAAAAUCUCUCUCUCAAUAAAUUAUAAAAAGUUAGGUCAAGGUGUAAUCUAUAUUAAAGAAAAGAUGAAUUACAUUAAAAAAAAUUUAAAGCAUGUAUCUAAAUAAAUAUACACAAAUAAGAAUUUAAAAGUAAUAUAUAAACAAUAA
rnacentral:rRNA from 1 species